AAUCGAUGUGGGAUCUCGCAAUCCACCCUCUUCAGGGCCCAGCGUCCUCGCUGGCACACCGCCCAGUGUCCAUCCCCUUCGGGCCUCAACAUCCUCCAUUGCUUAAUGUCUGACUUUAAUGCCAUUUGUAAUCACCUAAUCUCACUAGCAGAUAUUGUCCUCUUUUGGACUUUCCUUCAAGGUUUUUAAAAUAUGUCUGUUAGGGAGAGAUUUCCACACCCUUAUAAAGAAUGUUUCGUUUUCCUCUCCAACUGAUGUGGGAUCUCAUAUGAAUUGUGGGGGAACCGAGUUAUAUAAACUCAUUUACAUACGGUAACAUGCAUUUAGUUUGUUAGUUUAAGAGUUUGUGAUAUAUUUGUAGGUUCAUAAGUUUUAGAACCUUGGAUCAUAUAAAUUCAAUGAGCAGAAAAGUUACUCAUCUUGACUAUCUCAUAAUAACUGUUUUUAAUCUGUAUGCUCUCUAAUAACCAUAGAAUAUAAUUAUGUGUCCCUCUCUUCUCCUAAAUGUCUAUUCUUGCAUAUACGUUCUUAUCACGAGCAAGAAACAAAGAGAAAAAGAAAAGGCACACAGGUAUUCAUCUGAUCUCUAACUUGUGAAAUUGUUGUACUUGAUAGGGUGUUCCCUAUGCUGACUAAUUUUUACAGCUUUGACAGAAAACGUGGUACAUUGAUGGUGAAGAACAAGGAAGCAGCUCAGCUAAGCUAAUCUUAGCUCGAAAUUCAAACCCCUUUUUGGAGUGUAUAAUGUUGGGAACAGUUCUUAUUUUCUAGAUUACUGUUGGCUUUGCCCACAACUGAAUCUGCCUUGAUUCUCCAAAGAAAUUGAUUCUUAUUUCUACUUGGGAGACAUGUUUGCCAAUAUCGUGGUAUCAUUCAUUAAAUAAUCUCACACGGUAUGGAUGGUAUAUGUAACGACCCAGAUCCACCGCUAGCAGAUAUUGUCAUCUUUAGGAUUUUCCUUUCGGGCUUCCCCUCAAAGUUUUAAAACACGUCUGUUAGGGAAAUGUUUUCACCCCUUAUAAAUGGAGGCUUGUUCUCCUCCCCAACCACACCCUUAUAAGGAAUGAUUCGUUUUCCUCUCCAACCGAUGUAGGAUUGCAAUCCACUCCCCUUGAGUGCCUGCAUCCUCGUUGGCACAUCAUCCAAUGCCUGGCUCUGUUACUAUUUGUGACAAUCUAAGUCCGCUGCUAGUAGAUAUUGUUCGUUUUGACCCAUUAUGUAUCACCUUCAGCUUCACGGUUUUUAAAUGCGUCUCUUAGAAAGAGAUUCACAUCUUUAUAGGUAAUGUUUCGUUCUCCUCUCCAACCGAUGUGUGAUCUCACAAAUAGUGACUCCUAAGACUGGCCUAAGCUUGAACCAUACUCGAUAUAAGCUUGGUUCAUGGUCAAAAUUUGUUCGGACAUGCUCGAUUGGACAAUAUUUGAAUUGAUUGGUCCGGUCGAUACAUAACAAGGAUAUUUAAAUUUUUUA